UGUAGUAAUUUCAUAUAUCUCCAUUUUGAAUUUUCAAGCUCUUUUUUUUGCAUAUAUUUCUUCCAUGAGGUAAUUAUUCUAUUUAAGUUGUAUCUGACAUUAAAUAUUAAUACAUGGAUUUUAAACUAUAGUUCGCUACGAUUUAGAAUUCUAGAUUUUAUUCUUUAUUUUUUUAUCAGAGUAAUUUCAUAACUACGGGCUAAGAUUCACAAACAAUAAAUGUAAAGAAGUAGAGAAUUUAAAAUUCGAAUUUCGAUUUCUUCAAUAAUCUACCAAUUGAACAACCUUCACCGGACUAAUUCUAAUUCAUUCUUUUAGUCAAAAAAAAUAAAUUCUAAUUCAUUCUAGUAGACUCAAACUUGUUGCAAAAUUCUCAAGUUUUAUGUGCUACUCUAUAUAUCAUUAAGUAUUGGAAAACUUUUCACUAACAAAUUUACUAUAAUAAUCACCUUAUUUUAUGUCAUGUCAUUUUUUAAAAUUGAUUACCGUUUUACUGUGUAAAACAAACCUCUACACAUGAAAAUAUUCAUUCUAAAAAGUGAUAAAUUAUCAUUUGUCUAAUUUCUCAUUUUCUUUUUACAUGCCACUUCAUUAUUUUCAUGUUAUUUUGUGCAAAUGAGUCACAAGAAAAAAAAAAUGAGCCACUAAAGAGUGUGGUUGAAAGAUACAAUUGAUUUGUUUUAACUAAACUAUAUUUAAGUAGAAAUGUGUUUUAGUUUUAUAAGUUUAACUCAAGUGAAAAUGUCGAAAGUAUUAGGUUCGAUAUUUUUCACCGUUACUAUGUGUGUGUUUGGUUUAGCGGUGACUAGAAUUGAGUUUGGUAGAAUUGAGUUUGGAGAAUUGAGUUUGAGUAAAAGUAAGUUGAAUGUAAAGUAAUUUAUGUUUGGAUAUGUUCGCAAGAAGUGAUUUUGUAUAAAUAUGUUGUUUGGAUUUUUAUGUCAAAAUUGCUUUUGAGUGUGUAAAUGGUCAAAAUGGGUUUUAACAUAUUUGUUUAUAUAUAUUGAUCAAUUUUUUUUAUUCAAUUUUAAACAAUUAUUUAAAUUUAUGUUGUAUAAUUUUAUAAAUAUUUUCAAAUUUAAUAAAUAGAAAGAUUACCCAUUGGUUAAUAAAAAAAAUUAACAAACAAUUAUUUUGGGUAGUAACAAACAAUUAUUCGUAAAAAAAUAAACAAUUUGUAACUAACCAAAAGGAAAAACAAUUUUUAAGUAAAAAAAUAAUUCUUGUUUUAUUUUACUUUAUAUUUAAUGAUGGGGCUUUGGAUUUAACAGUUAAAUGGAACGGGUCAAUAAAGCCCAAGUUCUCAUCUCUAACCUUGAGGCAGCCGCACUGUAGCAAAUAAACAAUAAAAUACCAUGAAGAAAAUAGUUGAAUCAGGAAAAUAAGUGGCAUAAUUGAUUUUGCAAGCAACGAUUUAUCAGUAGAGUCCCUACAAUUCUUGUUCUCUUUGACAUAUUUCCUCUUGAACAACAAAUCAGGACGAACAAAAAGGGUAAUAAGGGAAGAAGGAUUGGAAAAGAUAAAGUAAAACUCAGAAUCAAUUAAAGUAGACGCAGAAGCUCCGAAUUGCAGCUUCAGGUUCAACGUGAGUCUGAGAUAGAAUCAAUUUUUAUUGUAUUUAAACCAAACAUAAAGUUUUGUUGGGAAACCACGUUUGACCUUUCAAACACACGUUUGGGGUGUUUAAACGUGAAACCAAACACAUACUAUGAUUCAAACUAAGAAUCUCAUCUUUGUGUGCUUGAGUUUUCAAUGAUAUUUGCCACUCCGACUACAUUUCGAAAAAAGGUAGAUAUUUUCAGAGAGAAUCAAUUUUGUUUUGAUUAUGCAAAAAAUUUGAUUGUUACAUGGAACUUGGUUGUGAUAGAUUGUGCUGAUAGAUGGUAGCAUGCUCAAGCUUAGGAUGGUGAGGAAAUUAGUCCUCUGUCAUUUGAAGAAGUCGUGUGGCAAGAUGAUGAAGACAAGAAUCUCAAUCUCCAAGCGUGAGUCGCAACUCAGUUGAUUCGUUGGUGCGUG
rnacentral:lncRNA from 1 species